GAAGAGCUUUGCAAGACCAGCAAGAAAACUGUUAAGCCUCACCUUUGCUUGGCAUGGUUAAGAGAAAUUUAUUUCUCUGCUGUGAUAUUUGUUUGGGCCACAUAGUGCUUUUUAAGCAUCGCCAUCAAAUCUUCUUAGUUUGAAGCACCUGAGUCUUGAGGGAAACAUCAGUCUUCUAGGACUACUACUGCCUCUCUUCUGAACAGAGUUUGGAAAAUGGAUUUUUUUUUUUCAUGAAAAUCUUCAGUAGUGUCAAAAUGAAAAUACUGCAGCAGCCUUUAAGCAUAAACUUUGGCCUCAUCUUCUUUUCAGUAAAUUGAAACUAUCUUCCUACGCACUAUUGCCUGUACAUUACUUCUUGAUCUUGAUGCUGUUGUCUUAGGUUGGACAUCUGUUUAGUCCCAAACAAGUAUCCCAGUCACCUGAUUCCAUACUCUCUCCACAUAAGGAUUUCUUUUGAUUCCAGACCACUAAAAGAAAAUGCUAUCUUUUUAUAGGACUGGACCAUCUCUGCAAUGACUGAGUGAUCCUCUUUCCAGAGGACAUGUCUGAAGAUGUCUCUACAAUGAAUGUCUCCCUGUAAUGUUCCCAAGAAGAGAAUUGUACGCUACUUUGACACUCAGUUUCUAGCUUAGAGUCGCAGGAGAAAGGCUGAAAGAUCCAUCUCCCUCUUGAAGCUGGAUGGAUGAACUGAAGCAGCAGACAGAGCCUGGAGGGAGAAAGGAAAGAACUGGAAUAGCUGUGAGUCAGGUUUCCAAUGAGUCAAUGGAUGCUGACUGCUGAGAUAAUCCUCCAAGCUACAUGUUCACUCUGGAACCUAGAACUGCAUCCAAGCAGGACAUUUCCAGACAGCUUCCUGGCAUUUACCACCACCACUACUAAAUAGCCCAAGACCAUCCUGGAAUGAAUGAGGAUGUGGUUUUCUAAACCCUGGCCACAGCAACCUCUUCCAGUAUUGUAUUUCUUGUGUUUCUGAAGUAUCACCUAAAGGAAGAUUGGCUUCAAAGAAUGCCCUGACUGAGAAGAGAAAAAAAAAUAAUAAUGAA